CAGAGUAGGUCAUGUCUAACAAGUUAGCUCAAACAGAGUAGGUCAUGUCUAACAAGUCAGCCCAGAGUAGGUCAUGUCUAACAAGUCAGCCCAGAGUAGGUCAUGUCUAACAAGUCAGCCCAGAGUAGGUCAUGUCUAACAAGUCACCUCAAACAGAGUAGGUCAUGUCUAACAAGUCACCUCAAACAGAGUAGGUCAUGUCUAACAAGUCACCUCAAACAGAGUAGGUCAUGUCUAACAAGUCAGCCCAGAGUAGGUCAUGUCUAACAAGUCAGCCCAGAGUAGGUCAUGUCUAACAAGUCAGCUCAAACAGAGUAGGUCAUGUCUAACAA